GCAGGAGUAACGUGAUCUCAUUUGUCAAAGAUCACUGACUGCCUGGGAGAGAGGGUGGACACCACGACUGGAGCAAGUCUGGAAUGGCCGAGACCUGAGACUCCCCUGUGCGCACGGCUGGGCUGGAACCAGGAACCCAAGGUCACCUGAGAUUUUCAAAUUCCGUUUUACAGUCAUGCUUCUCAGACAAGUUUGCGACAAGCACCAAAGAUAACUCCCUAGCACUUGUUGUGAGCCUGCACUGUGCUGCCGGGGACUGGUACCUGCUCAGCCUUUGUUUUAUCCUCUGUAAUAAGGGAUGGUAAGAUCUGUCCUCCUCAUGGCUCAGAAACCCAGGGUGUUGAGAUUAGAUAAACCCCAGGGGAGAGAAGGCCCAGCCUCUAACCUGGUGCUGCCUCUCCAGUACGCACUACGUGAUCCACCUGAAAAUCUCCAAGCUGCAGGGGUUUAAAGAGGUCCCUUAGUUGGGUCUCCAGAAACUUGGCAGAAACAAAGUAUCUUGGGAGGACUUCACAUUUUAGGACUCAAAGAAUUCCCACAGAUAUUCUUUUUCUCCUUCUCCUUCUUCUUGGUACUAGGGAUUGAACCUUUAUCACUGAGCUACAUCCCCAAUUUAAAAAAUAAAAAUUUUUAAAUAUUGAGACAGGGUCUUGCUAAGUUGAGGUGGCUAGUCUCGAACUUGAGAUCCUCCUGCCUCAACCUCUGGUCCCUGGGAUGACAGGCGUGCACGACUGUGCCCAGCCCCACAAAUAACCUUCGAAGGAACCUGAGUUCACUGUCAAAAAUCAGGAAAUAAAAGGGAAGCGAGGUAUCAUCGACAAGAGCCAGCGGCCACAACAGUGGGAAGAAGUCCACGAAUCCUGAAGAUCUUGGAGGUGUCGCACCAAGGGUAGAGUACGAAGAGUGUCAGGGACAGACACUGUGGUUAGACUAGUAAACACAGCAAGGAACUAAACGCACAGAAUUCAAGUCGCUGGCCCUGUCUGAAGGGAAAGGAAAGGAAACUAGCCGAGAGGCAAUGAAGGCUUCUCAGGCCCCACUACUGUCCUGACUGCAAGCUCCCUGCGGCCACCCAGGCCGACUCCACAGGUGCUUGCUGUGUUGUUGUUCUUUAUAUUUUCAGCAUAUAUUUUCUCAUAAAUGCUGUUUUGCUGUCUAUUGUUUCAUAAAACCAAUAAAAAUGUAGCUGGGGCCGGUUCCCUCCAAUGUUGGAGCGGGUCUGCCCUCUUCCCAGUCUGGGGCUGCUCAUGUUGGGUAAAUACUUGAACCGUCUUUCCCCCACCUUCCAGAUCUGGGGAGAGGAUGCCUGUCCCCCUAUAGUUCCACGUGUUUCCGGUGAGUUCAGUGUAUCUAGGCAGCGGGAAUCAUCCUACCUGCCUCCAUCCCCACCACUGGAUUCCCAGAGCACUUAACAUUUUUAAUUUCACCACAACUGCCCCGUUUCUUUGUGUCUCUGGCCCACUGAGCCAUCGGGCCUCAAGGACAGGCUUAUCUCUUAAUCACUGCUCCAUCCCUAGUGCCCAGCCCUCGGGAGGACUAUACAGUACUGGUUUGGGAUGGAUCCCAAACCCACUGCCUGCCCUUCCCGAAUCAUUAAGGGGGCUCCUUUCUCCUGACUUUGAUCACACGCCAGGCCUCUGACCACACAGGGUGGGCCGCCUUUCUGUUGCUGUAACCAAAAUGCCUGACACACACAACUUGGAGGGGGGAAGAUUUGUUUGGGUCACGGUUUCAGAGGUUUGAGUCAAUGAUUCACUGGCUUCGAGGCAGGAGCUCAUGAAGACUGGGAAGGAGAGGCAGGCCAGGGACAAGAUGGAGUCCCACAGGCCUGGCCCCCAUGACCUAUAUCCUCCACCAGUUGUCCGCUCCGAUCAGUGACCCAUCGGGUGGAUCAGACGACUACUGAUGAGAUCCAACUACUUCCCCAAAGCCCUGCCUCUGGACCCUGGGGCCAUGGGACCCAAGCCUUCCACAAGGACAUUCCUGAUCCAAACCUUGACCCUGGGGUCUCCUCUGUCGGACCAAGUCGCUCGUUACCUGAG
rnacentral:lncRNA from 1 species